GACUGCGUUGCUCAGUUGGCAGAGCAUUGGGCUAGUAUUCCUAAGGUCGUAGGUUCGAUUCCCACCGUGGCCA